rnacentral:rRNA from 1 species
UACGUAGGGAGCAAGCGUUGUUCGGAUUUACUGGGCGUAAAGGGCGCGUAGGCGGCGCGGUAAGUCACUUGUGAAAUCUCUGAGCUUAACUCAGAACGGCCAAGUGAUACUGCAGUGCUAGAGUGCAGGAAAGGGCAAUCGGAAUUCUUGGUGUAGCGGUGAAAUGCGUAGAUAUCAAGAGGAACACCUGAGGCGAAGGCGGGUUGCUAGGCUGACACUGACGCUGAGUGCGCGAAAGCCAGGGGAGCAAACGGG